rnacentral:rRNA from 1 species
UCCAGUUGAUCCUGCUGGAGGACAUUGCUAUUGGAGUUCGAUUAAGCCAUGCAAGUCAGAGAGUAAUCUCGGCGAACGGCUCAGUAACACGUAGGUAACCUGCCCUGAAGUCUGGGAUACCCUUGGGAAACUGAGGUUAAUACCGGAUAAGGUGUCGAUACUGGAAGGUGCGAUACUUUAAAGGCUUGCCGCUUCAGGAUGGGCCUGCGUCGGAUUAGGCUGUUGGUGAGGUAAUGGCUCACCAAACCUGUAAUCCGUACGGGCGAUGUAAGUCGGAGCCCGGAGAAGGGGACUGAGACAAGGCCCCUAGCCCUACGGGGUGCAGCAGGGACGAAACCUUUACAAUGCGCGAAAGCGUGAUAAGGGAACUCCAAGUGAUUUAACGCGAGUUAGAUCUUUUUUCAACUUUAGACAGGUUGAAGAAUAAGGACUGGGCAAGACCCGUGCCAGCCGCCGCGGUAAUACGGGCAGUUCGAGUGAUAUCCGCGUAUACUGGGCUUAAAGCGUCCGUAGCCGGUUUAGCAAGUUUCUGGUGAAAUCCCGUCGCUUAACGGCGGGAAGUGCUGGAAAUACUACUAGGCUUGGAGGCGGGAGAGGGUAGAGGUACGUUAGGGGUAGCGGUUAAAUGCAAUAAUCCUUAACGGACCACCGGUAGCGAAGGCGUCUACCUAGAACGCGCUCGACGGUGAGGGACGAAGGCCAGGGGAGCAACCCGGAUUAGAUACCCGGUUAGUCCUGGCAGUAAAUGAUGCGGACUUUGUGUCGCGCAAGCCUCGAGCUUGUGCGGUGCCGGAGGGAAACCGUUAAGUUCGCCGCCUGGGAGGUACGUUCGCAAGAUUGAAACUUAAAGGAAUUGGCGGGGGAGCACUACAAGAGGUGGAGGCUGCGGUUUAAUUGGAUAAAACGCCGGACAUCUCACCUGGGAAAACGGCAGAAUGAAGGACAGUCUGAAGGGCUUUCUAGACAAGCCGAAAGGUGGUGCAUGGCCAUCGUCAGCUCGUGCUGUGAAGUGUCCUGUCAAGUUAGGCAACGAGCGAGACCCAUGCCUUUAGUUGCUAUUGCUUUCAUUACGAAAGUGAGCACUCUAGAGGGACUGCCGCUGCUAAAGCGGAGGAAGGUGUGGGCGACGGUAGGUCAGUAUGCCCCCAAUUUCCAGGGCUACACGCGGCCUACAUUGACAACCACAACGGGAUGCAACACCGAGAGGUGAAGCUAAUCCCUUAAAAGUUGCCUAAGUUUGGAUCGGGGCUUGAAACUCAGCCCCGUGAAAAUGGAAUCUCUAGUAAUCGCAAGUCACUAACUUGCGGUGAAUAAGUCCCUGCUCCUUGCACACACCGCCUGUCAAGCCAAACAAGUGAGGUCUUGAUGAGCUGCAUUGCUUUGCUUUGUAGCGAAUCUAGGCUUCGUGAGUGGGGCUAAGUCAUAACAAGGUA